rnacentral:rRNA from 1 species
CCUACGGGCGGCAGCAGUCGAGAAUCAUUCACAAUGGGGGACACCCUGAUGUUGCGACGCCGCGUGGGGGAAUGAAGGUUUUCGUAUUGUAAACCCCUGUCAUGUGGGAGCAAAUUAAAAAGAUAGUACCACAAGAGGAAGAGACGGCUAACUCUGUGACCGCAGGCGCGGUAAUGCAGCGGUCUCAAGCGUUGUUCGGAAUAUCUGGGCGUAAAGGGUGCGUAGACGGUUUCGUAAGUCGUGGGUGAAAGGCGCGGGAUGAAACCGCGGACGGCACAUGAUCCUGCGAGACUAGAGGAAAGGAGGGGGAACCGGAAUUCUCGGUGUAGCAGUGAAAUGCGUAGAUAUCGGGAGGAACACUCGGGGCGAAGGCGGGUUCCUGGACAUUAACUGACGCUGAGGCACGAAGGCCAGGGGAGCGAAAGGGAUUAGAUACCCUGGUAGUC